GACGAACGCUGGCGGCGUGCCUAAUACAUGCAAGUCGAACGCAGUGGGGACGGGUGAGUAACACGUGGGUAACCUCCCAUCAGAGGGGAUAACACUUGGAAACAGGUGCUAAACCGAUACUGAUGGAUGGACCCGCGGUGCAUUAGCUAGUUGGUGAGGUAACGGCUCACCAAGGCCACGAUGAAUAGCCGACCGAAGCGGAUGAUCGUGCACACUGGGACGGAGACACGGCCCAGAAGCCUACGGGAGGCAGCAGUAGUGAAGUUUCGGCAAUGGACGAAAGUCUGACCGAGCAACGCAGCGUGAGUGAAGAAGGUUUUCGGAUCGUAAAACUCUGUUGUUAGAGAAGCGGUAUCUAACCAGAAAGCCACGGCUAACUACGUGCAAGCAGCCGCGGUAAUAC
rnacentral:rRNA from 1 species